rnacentral:rRNA from 1 species
AAUAGCCUAACGGCUGAACCGGCAACUUGGAGGAAUGUAUAGGGAAAACUGGUAAAAUGUGAUGUACCUAGUAAUAUUAGUGAUUAAUAUGAGACUAACCGAGUUAGUUAAAAUUCUAAGYMUAUAUGUGAUUAUGACAAUAUGUGCUUAUUUCUUGACCAAGUCACGUGCCAGCCGKCGCGGUAAUACGUGGAAGAUCAGUGUUAUUCAUCUUUAUCAGGUUUAAAGGGUACCUAGACGGKUAAUUAAGCUUUAGUAGGAACUAAUUAACUAGAGYUUAAUGUAMGAAUGAUUGAGUACGGUGAGUGUAGAGAUAAAAUUCUGUCAUACCACUUAGGAACUGGUAAAAGCGAAGGCAACUUUCUAUGUAAAAACUGACGUUAAGGGACGAAGGCUCGUAUCAAAUAACAGGAUUAGAUACCCCAGUAUUGUGGGCAGACAAUGAUGAGUGUCAUAUGCAMGAGAUAAAUAUAUAAAAAAAUAUUUUGUGUAUAAAUGAAAGUGUAAGCACUCCACCUCAAGAGUAACGUGGCAACAUGGGAACUGAAAUCAUUAKACCGUUUCUGAAACUCGCAGUGAAGUAUGUUGUUUAAUUAGAUGGUGCACAAAUAACCUUACCACAAUUUGUAUAACUAUAGUACAUAAUANUAAUAUAGUUACANGCGUUGCACGGCUGUCUUUAGUCUAUGUUGGAGAAACUGUGGUUAGAUCCAUUAAANUAGACCGUUAAAACCCUU